GCGGGCUCCGGGCCCGUGGACCGGGUUGGGGGGGGAGUCCAACCUGGGCUACGCAGGGGGUGAAUUUCCUAGGACCAAGGAGAUUCAAGACCUGAGAAAAAGCGUUUGGUCGUUGGGUAGAGGAGUUCAUUAAGGAGUCUUUCCCGAGGUGGUUCUUUCGGCGACUGACUUUCGGAGGGCAAAGUAGUGGUUGAUCUUCUGCUUCCUGUUCUGCGUCGUGUUGUCGCUGUUGGGGGCCAUUCACUGAUUGAACCUCUUGAUGAAGCCAUCCCUGAACCUCUCUUGGCGCGAAGCGGACUGCCUUGUGGCCCUCUGCCUUGAUGGGUCUGUAGUUGGCCUCUUUCCCCGACCACUGGGUAGAUCAACUACGGUUCGGUCCUAAUUCUGUCGAGUACAGUAGCAGCAGCCAGAGGGUCUGGGCUGCGAAGUCUUGGCUAAGUGGGAUGGAAGGAGGGGAAGUGGAUGCCCGGGACCUGGCCCUGCCACCUUGAGCUUUGCUGGGUUGAAGGAUGCCUUUCAGGGCCCUCUGGGGAAAGGUGGAGAGGUAGUGGUGGGUUCUUGACUCUGAGCCCAGGGUGAUGGAACAUGGUGACUUCUGAACCCCCUUCCCGGUAAAGGGAAUCACAUGCCAGUUCCCAGACCUGACUUUCCAAGCUGUCACCAACCAAGUGAGCAAUUAAUUAAAACCCUAUGUUGGUAUUAAGUGCAUGACCUUCUAGACUUUGCUGAAAGAAAGUAUGACCCCAUAGUCAUCAACCAAGCUAGGGGGAACUGGGGUGGGGGAUGGGCAGACAGCACUGUGUCAAGUGCCAGAAAGAAACCUUUGGGUAGUUGCCUUUCUCUGAAAGAGGACAUAGCUUCAGUGCAGAGUGAUAGGGAAGCAAAGCACUUGACCUUUUCACUAGAAAGGUUACGGUGUGACCUGGGUUCAACAGUAAACUGCCUACCAGACUCCAACUUCAGGAGUCAGCAAACCAUCAGUUCUCUAGAAUGAUACUUUGGCUAAACAUCCUUACAGUCUGAUCGGAGGGUGAUUUUAGGGGCUGCAUUCAGUGGCAAGUAAGUGGUACAGAGGAAGAGGCCAGGGGGUAUGGAAAAGGCAUAAAGGGAGUCAUAUUUAAGUGUGGUUCUACAUAAUCGUAAUAGCGAAAAUCUUAAAUUAGCACUCAACAGUGUGUCAGUCUCUGUUUCUAGCACUUUAAUAUAUAAACUUAAGUAAUCCCAGCCCCCCUAUUAGGUAGGUACCUAUAGUAUUAUCCCCAUUAGAUAGAUGGGGAAACUGAGGUACCCAGCAGUCAAGUGAUUAACCCAAGCUUACACGGAUAUUAAGUGACAAGAAUUCGAACCCAGUCAGGCUCCAGAGGUCAAGCUUUUAGCCACCGGAGGAGAGGAAGCAGCUUUGUUUUCAUUGAUCCAAUUUCCAAGGGGAGCAGUUGACAACUAAAGACUUCAUUUUGAAGACAGUCUGUCUCUACCAGCAUGGCUGACUUUGACUUUCUUGGGUUUUGUUUUUAAUUCUGGCACAACUGAAAGGAGAUGCCAGGAAUGGCAAGAAGAGCACUUGCCUUUUAAUUUUCCUCCUCUUAGGUCAGAGUUGAGGUCAGUCCAGAAUCUCAGCUGAUGAUGUCACAGCUGAUAAUUGUGCUUUGCCCUGCAGGUUUGUGGCAUCAGCAGGGGGAACACAGGCUCCAGGACAGGAAGUGGAGGGCAGGGGGAUUUCCAUACGGUUGUCAGAGCCCAGGGGAAGCAGCCUGAACUUUUGGCUGAGGGGAGGCCCAGUCUGAACUCAAAGAAGGAAGACUCCUAGGAGAAAAAAACAAGGCCCUAAGGUGGAUAAUAGGUGACAAACAAACAAAACAUGCCCUUCACACAGAACUGGUGCCCCUCAGGUUGAGAGGCUUCUCGGUUUUUCUAACUGUGAAUUGAAGCUGUUAAGAGCAGCUGCCUCCUCGGGGCCCUCUGAAAAUUCAGAAUGUGAGAAGUGGCUAGAACACAGGUGUUUUCCGUGAACGGGCUUAUUUCCUAUCUAGGGUCAUCACUCCUUGGGAUUUUCUUUACAGGGUGGGGUUUUGACCCCGUGAUUUGACCUCUUCCCCUCCAUCCGACACCCCAAACAAUCCUUCUUAAGCCAUGGUAGUUGAGACGGCAGGGCUCUUGUGUGACAGACGACACAUGUCCAGGAUGCCCCGAGCAAGCGUGUCCCUCGACUCACUCCUCAGUCUCCAGGGAGCUCUCCAGUGAGACAGGUGACCAUUUGCUUCCCCUGAGUAAUAUGGAUGCUCAUUUUUUAUACAUGAAAACCUGAGGGUGGCCCCAGGAAACAAUAACCAGGCUCAUUUAUUAAGUCCCUUUAGACAAAGUGAAAUGAAUGUCUAGUAGAGAGGCAAUGAAUUACUUAUGCCUGAGAGCUGACUUCAGAGGGAAGCACAAACUGCUUAGGAAGGAAGUGGAGAGAACCUAAACCUUUGUUGUACCAAAAUAAGCCAAGGCCAGCAAGGUUACCGUCUACACAGCUGAAGUCUAAUUGGCAGAUGGCCGCACAUGGGAGAGUUGCUGGCUCACAGUCUUGUCUUGCAGGUCUUCCCUUCAAAUUAUAUAUUUAUUGUUGUUAUGCCUGCUAAUUAUACAGCAAGGGCACACGCAUUUGAGUCAGGUAUAUAGGGCUCUUAAACUUUUAAUGUCUUCCAGCUGGGAAUUCAAGAACCCUAAUCCAUCUAGUCCAGUCCAUUACUCAGAGUACUGGGCAAAUAUGGUUUUGCUCAACCCCAGAUGGAUGAUAAAAGUUCUAUGGUGUUUAUAAAACAUGAUCUCAGCUUCAUAGCUCACCACGAGUUAUAUCUCGCUUGCUCAUUUGGUAUCGAUGUGCCUGUUCCCAGGGCAGUGUCAUUAAGUGAUGCUAUCUUCGUGGCUUCCUUAAGAGAGGUAGAGAAACCACUUUAAUAGAGUGGUAUUUAUAAACAGGGAGCUGGCAGAAAAUAGAAGCUUCUCUCAUCCACACCUCCCUUCUUCCCUCCCUCGCUCAUUGUUGUAUGUCAGUUUGAUGCUGAGCAUCGCUUGGGGUUUCUCACUGGCCAUUUUUCUUACUAAAUGUUCACGAAUGUCCAUGGCCUUGGAGAUAAUUUCCUUCCAUUCGGAGAUGCUAGGUUAAAUGAUAGGGUUUUGAUGAGAAUAUUCCUACUCCAAAGCAGUAACCAGGAUGUACAUGAAAGGAGCUCCAUCAUAAUGAACUUCAUUUGAAAUCCUUUGACGCCCUCAGAAGACUCUUCCCCGCUUUCUACCGUGGUGGAGAAAUUCAAGUUCUCGGUGAAGAGAGGCAGCAUUUUGGAGGGUACCCAAACCAUGGGGACAUCAUUCAAUCUUUUGAUCCUCUAAUCAUGAGCAGGGUUCCCUACACUGUGAUGAGUCAGUGUAAAUAAGGAUUUCGCGUCACAGGGGCUUCCUUCAGUGUGCAGCACCCACAGUGGGGGUUUCACAGCAGCCGUCUAACUGGCCACAGAUAGAUCCACAGGAAGACCGAGUUCAAAGAGGCACUCAGUUCCCCUAAGAAUAGCAUUACCAAUCCCAUCUUGCAUGCAGAGCUGCCCUAGAGGGCUGUCUGUGGAUGACUAUUGCUCAAAGGGCUUCCCGGAUGGCUCAGUGGUAAAGCACCCACCUGCUAAUGCAGGAGACCCAGGUUCGAUCCCUGGGUCAGGAAGAUCCCCUGGAGAAGGAAAUGGCAACCCCAUUCAGUAUGCUUGCCUGGAGAAUCCCAUGGACAGAGGAGCCUGGUGGGCUAUAGGCUAUGGGGUCACAAAGAAUCAUUCACAACUGAGUGAGCAUAGCGCAGCACUGCUCAGAAGAGGUUGCCUCUGUGUUGCACCUCAUCUGCCUCCAGUCUGAGGAUGGCACUAAGGCAUUCAACUACCUCCUCAUCCAGGGAUGCAUGGACAAUGUCUCAGGUCUGAAAAUAAGCCAGGGACACUGGGCUGCAAAUCCUCAGGCUGGUCCUUACCCCAUUUCCCCAUCAGUACCUGUCCUUCCCCCAGCUGGGGCUGUGGGCGAGUGCUCUGUCUCUGUUGCCACACUCCUCCAGCUGUAAUAACAGGCCUGACCUCUGCACAGCUCAGAAACCUUUUCAUCUGGGAUCUUGCCCACUGCCUAUAAAAACCCAUCGAGUGGGAUGCUCUUUCACAGGAGGGUCUCUGGGAACACAGGAUUCACAGCUUGGUGACAGCCGAGCCAGGGCCAAGCCCCAUGUCACUCACGCCCUAGGCCUGUGAAGAGUCCCAGAAACAAAGGUAGAGAGGGACAGGGCAGUAUUUGCCCCUCUGCCAGUGGAGGCGAGGGUCAGACUCACAGACUCAGUGGUCCCUAUCGUAGAUCUUGCUUGUUAAUGGCCUGCUGUGUCCAGGCACUUUACAUCCUUUAGGCCAGAGAAUCUUCACAACCAAGGUGAAAACCAGGCAUCAAGGCCCAAGAAUGGAUCUCCCUCCAGAAGAUGUGUUAUGCUGUUUAAACGCUGCUUGCUGGUGGGCCCAGAGUGUCCCGCAGGUGGCAUCUAUUUUAAGGCGCCUUUAUUGCUACUCCUGAGGGGCAGGGAACUCUGCUGCCCAGGGAGGGCUUUACAAGUGUCAGCUGCUGAGUGAUCAACAAGUUUAGCCGAAUGGAAAAGCUGCCGCCUCCAUCUUCCAAGAGCAGGCAGAGCCAGCUUGGAGGAGGACACCCAGCGGGAGAGAACCCAAAGGGAGCCCAUGUUUAGGCCACUGGCCUCAGGACACGCAACUCAUUUGCUCUGGAGCCGGCAGAAAGUCUUCUGUGAAGGGGCCUUUGAUUUCCUCUGAGUCCCCUACAGUGUUGGGCCGUUGGUGAAACGUCAGAGCUGGGAGCACAGGGAGAGAAGGAAUCGGCGUAGCAAGCGCGGAGAUGCUCCGGCUUUGAAGUCUGAGCUGGGUCCCAAAUUGCCUUGCCUCUUACCAGGGCCUGGAGCAAGUCACUUCAAGUCCCCGACUAUAAAGCGUGGGGCCGGCUCUCAUCCACAGGCGGUUAUGCCCCGUGAAUACUCACUGCUCCCAGGACGUCAGAGCUGACGCUGGGUUGAGCAUUGAGAACUUGCCCAGGGUGGGGCGGCCUGGGUGUCAUUCCUGGCUCCCUCCCUUGUGAGUUGCGUGAUCCCAGGCAGGGUCACUGCUAUGCUUUGGUUUCUUCCUCCAUAACAGGAUUUGGACCGCAUCGCUUUUUUUUUUUUUUUUUUUAAUUUUGGCUUCACUGAAUCUUGGUUGUGGUGCACGAGCUUUUCUCUAGUUGCCACACGUGGGGGUUUCUCUAGUUGUGACACAAGGGCUUUGUUACUGUGCAACAUUUGGGAUCUUUGUUCCCCAACCAGGGAUCAAGCCUGCAUACCCUGCCUUGGGAGGCGGAUU